UACGUAGGGUGCGAGCGUUGUCCGGAAUUAUUGGGCGUAAAGAGCUCGUAGGCGGUGUGUCGCGUCGGUCGUGAAAACUUGGGGCUUAACUCUGAGCUUGCGGUCGAUACGGGCAUCACUGGAGUUCGGCAGGGGAGACUGGAAUUCCUGGUGUAGCGGUGAAAUGCGCAGAUAUCAGGAGGAACACCGGUGGCGAAGGCGGGUCUCUGGGCCUUACCUGACGCUGAGGAGCGAAAGCGUGGGGAGCGAACAGG
rnacentral:rRNA from 1 species